rfam:Hordeum vulgare subsp. vulgare, WGS project CAJW01000000 data, contig: morex_contig_69821
UUAAUACUCCCUCCGUCUGGAAAUAAUUGUUCUAAAAAUGUAUAAAAUGAAUGUAUCUAUAANNNNNAUAAGUCUAGAUACAUCUAUUUCUAGGACAAGUAUUUCCAAACGAAGGGAGUAGUAG